rnacentral:sRNA from 1 species
GGCCCAGAAUUCCUGGCACCCAGGAUCUGGGGAGGAGAAAGCCUUCCAGUUCUACAACUCCUGCAUGGAUACACGUGCCAUUGAAGCUGCAGGGACUGGUCCCCUCAGACAAGUUAUUGAGGAGCUUGGAGGCUGGCGCAUCUCUGGUAAAUGGACUUCCUUAAACUUUAACCAAACGCUGAGACUUCUGAUGAGUCAGUAUGGCCAUUUCCCUUUCUUCAGAGCCUACCUAGGACCUCAUCCUGCCUCUCCACACACACCAGUCAUCCAGACCAGCCAGAGUUUGAUGUUCCCCUCAAGCAAGAUCAAGAACAGAAGAUCUAUGCCCAGAUCUUUCGGGAAUACCUGACUUACCUGAAUCAGCUGGGAACCUUGCUGGGAGGAGACCCAAGCAAGGUGCAAGAACACUCUUCCUUG